CUUGUUGUGGCAGAUCUGGAGGCAGCCCCCGUUCUCCUGGCUGCAUUCGUUGACAUCUGGGAACAAGCACAGGCCUGAAGGGGAGCCCAAGGGUGCACAGCCCCUGGCUACGGGGCUGGGGCUGGCCUUCGGAGUUACGAGGAAACGAGGACCAGGACCAGGGAUUCUGCAUCAGCACAGCCGCCAGGAGCCGGCCGGGGCCCCAUCCCUGACACUGCUGUCGCCCGGCUGUACCUGGGUGCUGUGUCCGCGGGGCGUCUGGAGACGUCGAUGUGGUCAUAGCAGGGCCUGGAACGGGGAGGUCUGGCCUGAACUAGAGAAAUGAGGGGCGUAUCCGCUUCUCCACCCUGGCCUCAGAUGAAGAGGCUCUGGGGGCAGGAGGGAGUCAGACACGUGCAGGGCAGGCGGCCUGUGCAGGGCCCAACCCUCCGGCACCAGAACCUGACCUCCUCAGAGGCCCCCACCAUGGAGGGAUGUCUGGGGGAUGCUGUGCGCUGCCGCUACGAUGUUUGGUUAGAGAUUAAAGCCAUUUCAGAAGUGGACACCUGCCCAUGUGAUGCAAAGGGCUGGGAACCCGGUCUUGACUUUGCCUGGAAUGCCUUUCGGAAAGACCUCUGUCCCUGAGGCUGAGGGACAGUGCCUGCUCCUGCCAGGUGCCCAGCUCUUAAGCGGUCCCCAGACUCAUGCCACCUGCCCCGGGGCCUCCCCCAACUCAUUUGUUUAUUUCCCUGUUGGGAAUGUAUUGAUACCUCUAGGAUGCAAGGACGGAACCACACCUGAGGGGUGGACAGUCAGCCGGUGCCCAGCAAAUAUCUGUGGAAUUUCCUCCACACAACAGGGAAAGCGAUGGAGACAGAAACCU
rnacentral:lncRNA from 1 species